UACGUAGGGCGCAAGCGUUAUCCGGAAUUAUUGGGCGUAAAGAGCUCGUAGGCGGUUUGUCGCGUCUGCCGUGAAAGUCCGGGGCUCAACUCCGGAUCUGCGGUGGGUACGGGCAGACUAGAGUGCAGUAGGGGAGACUGGAAUUCCUGGUGUAGCGGUGAAAUGCGCAGAUAUCAGGAGGAACACCGAUUGCGAAGGCAGCUCGCUGGGACGUAACUGACGCUGAGACGCGAAAGCGUGGGGAGCAAACAGG
rnacentral:rRNA from 1 species